rnacentral:rRNA from 1 species
GUCCACGCCCUAAACGAUGUCUACUAGUUGUCGGGUUUUAAUUAACUUGGUAACGCAGCUAACGCGUGAAGUAGACCGCCUGGGGAGUACGGUCGCAAGAUUAAAACUCAAAGGAAUUGACGGGGACCCGCACAAGCGGUGGAUGAUGUGGAUUAAUUCGAUGCAACGCGAAAAACCUUACCUACCCUUGACAUGGAAGGAAUCCCCGAGAGAUUGGGGAGUGCUCGAAAGAGAACCUUUACACAGGUGCUGCAUGGCUGUCGU